rnacentral:rRNA from 1 species
GUGCAGCAGGCGCGAAAACUUUGCAAUGCGGGAAACCGUGACAAGGGAACUCUGAGUGCCCGUUAAAUCGGGCUGUCCAUCGGUUUAAAUAACCGGUGAAGAAAGGGCCGGGCAAGACCGGUGCCAGCCGCCGCGGUAAUACCGGCGGCUCGAGUGGUGGCCACUAUUACUGGGCUUAAAGCGUUCGUAGCUGGUUUGUUAAGUCUCUGGGGAAAUCUUCCGGCUUAACCGGAAGGCGUCUCAGGGAUACUGGCAGACUAGGGACCGGGAGAGGUGAGAGGUACUCCAGGGGUAGGAGUGAAAUCCUGUAAUCCUUGGGGGACCACCUGUGGCGAAGGCGUCUCACCAGAACGGCUCCGACAGUGAGGGACGAAAGCUGGGGGAGCAAACCGGAUUAGAUACCCGGGUAGUCCCAGCUGUAAACGAUGCGCGUUAGGUGUAUCGGUGACCACGAGUCACCGAGGUGCCGAAGAGAAAUCGUGAAACGUGCCGCCUGGGAAGUACGGUCGCAAGGCUGAAACUUAAAGGAAUUGGCGGGGGAGCAC